CCUGGGGCCCUGUGCCGGUCACUGUGCCUCUUCCAGCCUCGGUAUCCUCUGGAAGGCCAAUCAGCCCUCCUUGGGAAGCCGCCGUCCUUGCCCGCUCUGCUCCUGGGGUCCCACCCAAGCUUCAAUCCUCGCUGUGUGGUCUUCCCUCCGUGAGCCUUCAUUUCCUCAUCGCAGCCCUGGGAGGCAGAUGCUGCCAUGAAACCACGGUGCCCUCAAGAAACCUGGCCAUGAGGGGGCUUCCUGCCUGCCCACGGCCCUGCAGGUCAUGGACCCUUCCAUGGAGGUCUGACAGCCCUGGCCCAGGCAGAACACGGCCUCAGCGUGCUCCUGUGGACCCUGGUGGGAGCCCCAGGAGCCGCGGUGAUGGGGUGAGUCGGGCCAACUUCUUGGCUGUUGCCUGUGGCCCAUCAACGCCUGCGGGUGGACGCCCUUCAGGGCCAGAGCAGGCGCCUCAGCGUGCAGACACUGUCUGGCUCUCUUUCUGCGUUUUCUUCAUCUGGAUUCUGUUGGGACAACAAUCAAGGCUGUCUCGUUCUGUCUGUGGAAUGGGCCUCACCUAGCAAGAAGCCCCAGGGGCCCCCAGGGCUGGGUUACCGGCAGAGAGAAGCCACUGCGACCUUUGCCCUCCCUAAAUCCAGAGGUAUUUGGCCCAGAAGCUCCUCCCUGAGUCCUUGCUGGAGCAUUUGUCUUCAAACGGAGGAGGAGAACCAAUGGAGUCUCAUUCUGCGGCUCACUGCAACCUCCACCUCCCGGAUUCAAGCGAUUCUCCUGCCUCAGCCUCCCAAGUAGCUGAGAUUACAGGCAUGCGCCACCAUGCCUGGCAAAUUUUUGUGUUUUUAGUAGAGACGGGGUUUCACCAUGUUGGCCAGGAUGGUCUCAAUCUCUUGACCUCGUGAUCCGCCCGCUUUGGCCUCCCAAAGUGCUGGGAUUACAGGUGUGAGCCACUGUACCCGGCCUCAGGUAGUAUCUUUAUAGCAGUGUGAGAAUGGGUUAAUACAAUGUGCAGGGCCUUAAGCUGUGGCUGACUGGUAGAAGCAGCUCAAUAAAUGGUGGAUGGAUGGAUGGAUGGAUGGAUGGAUGGAUGGAUUCACUAAUUACUGACUCACUUGUUGGGUGUGGUAGAGCAUCAGAUCACAGACCUUAGAGCCUGGCUUCCAAGGUUUGAAUCUGUGAUAUACUGACUCCAUAAUAUUAAGUGAUUUAUGUAAUGUUCCCAUGCCUCAGUUUCCUCAUCUGUAAAAUAAAGUCCAAAGAUUUCUGUUCUUUUUCAAUAUGGCCAGUUAAGAACCUGCACAAACCCUCCCACUAACAGCAGCUAGAAAUUCUGGGUAGAAUGAAAAAUGCCUGUCUUGUUGAUUAUUGUCUUGAGCUGACUAGGAAGUGUGGAGUACUCAGGCCAGGAUAGAGAAAAGAUGGGACCCAGAGAGGAAGGUGGACACUGAAUCUGGCUUUCCUGGGAGGUAUGGAAAGAUGUGGCCACUGCUCCAUCUCUGAAACAAAAAGCUGAACUUAUUGCUUGUUCAGCAUGGGAGAGCUAUAAUUGUAAGGCUCAGACUGCCCGAACAAAGCAAACUGCUGGCCUUCAUAGUGUUUCAGGAAGAGUGGAGUUCAGGCAUAGGAGGCUUUCAGAAGUGGGAGAGCUUGGGGAAUGAUUGAUCUCUAACUGAGGGAGACUAGUUAUUGGAGAGGGGCUACUGCUGGUUGGUUGACCAAAGAAAGUGGUCACUACUAGAUUGAGACGGACUUAAUGCUGGUGUUUGCUUGUUGCUGUGGCCAGACAACAGCCUAUCUUUUCAUUUUGAAGUUGGAGAAUUGAAAUUUUUUAUUCUCAUAGGCAAACCUGAGCAUCAUUUUUUGACUACUUUUGUGGCUAGAGGUCAGAAGACAAAGCACAGAGCCUGGCCAUGCAGGAGAGUCUAGUGGAAGACCAUUCCUUCAAUGUGGGACUCCAUGGGCUACACCUCACUGUCAUGGGAAACUAGAAAAUCUAUUUCCCCUUUGGAUACUACAUCGGCACUGCCUGUAGCAAACUUUGGUGCCAAGUGGAGCAGGAAAAGCAUUCUCUAAGAAUUAAUAACUAUAACCUGAACUACGUGUGUGUGUAUGUAGCCUGAAUCCACAUUUCCUCAACUAUCCAAAACAAGGGAUUUUAGUUUAAAGGAGUGUCAGAUUGGAAGUGCCUCAAUUGUUUGACAGAAGUAAAUACAAUUACUUUCUAAAGGACUCUGCCUUUACCUCAGGCCUCAGAAAAUUUCCAUAAAGUUCCACAGCAAAUGAGCAGUUCAGAGUAAAAAAAAAAUCACUAAAUAUACAAGGAAACAAGACACCAUGAGGGAAAGUCAACAGAAACAACAGGCAGUAGAAUCAGAUCAGCCAAACAUUUAGAUACUAAAAAUAGCAGGACUGGAAAAUAAAUGUGUUUUAUGGAAGAAAUAAGAGGCUUGGAUGUAUUAAUGAAGAACAAGCAUACUUGAAAAAGAACCAAACAUACUCUUAGAAAUAAAAACAUGACAAUCAAAAUGAAAAACUCAAAAGAUAGCUUAACCACAGUUUAGACAUGACCGAAGAAGGAAUUGAUGAACUGAAGGAUAAGGCAAAAGACAUUAGGAGAGUUGCACUCCUGAAAGAUAAAGAACUGGGAAAUAUAAAGAACAUGAGGACUUGCGUGCAAAUGUAAGCAUAUUGCUAAUUGGAUUUCCAGAAAAUGAAGAGAGAUAGAAUAGGAGUAGGGGCAAUAUUUGAAGAGGAUUAUGGCUGAAACUAUUUCAGAUAUAAUGAAAGAUAGCAACCCACAAAUUUAAGAAGCCCAGUGACUCUCAAGCAAGCCAAAGAAAAAGGAUUCCACACGAGUCACAUAAGAAUAAAAAUACAGAACAUUGAAGACCAAGAGAAGUCUUAUAAAAGAGCCCAAGAGAAAAUAUAGAUUAUCUUCAAAGAUAGUUACGCUGAGAACUUACUAUUCAGGAGCAACAAUGGGAAUUAGGAAACAGAGAAAUGAUGUCUUCAAAAUGCUCAGAGCAAAUGAUUACCAACCUAGAAUUCAAUAUCCGGUGAAAAAAAUUAAAGAUGCAAAUGAUUGUCAACCUAGAAUUCAAUAUCCAGUGGAAAAAAUAAAGACACAAAGGAUUACCCACCUAUACAAUUCAAUAUUCAGUGAAAAAAAUAAAGACAAUCAUAGGCAAAUAAAAAUCAAGAAGGUGUCCCACAAACAACCCUUGCUUAAGGAAAUUUUUUGUAAAAUUAAUUUUAUUUUUUAAGACAGGGUCUCACUCUGUUGCCCAGAUGGGAGUGCAGUGGUGCAAUCAUGGCUCACUGCAGCCUUGAACUCUCAGACUUGGGUGAUCCUCCCA
rnacentral:lncRNA from 1 species